AGGACGAACGCUGGCGGCGUGCUUAACACAUGCAAGUCGAGCGAGGCCCUUCCUUCGGGAAGGUGCCCUAGCGGCGAACGGGUGAGUAACACGUGGGCAACCUGCCCCUAGCACUGGGAUAAGCCCGGGAAACCGGGUCUAAUACCGGAUAUGACCUUUGAGGGCAUCCUUGAAGGUGUAAAGGAUUCUGGCUAGGGAUGGGCCCGCGGCCUAUCAGCUUGUUGGUGGGGUAAUGGCCUACCAAGGCGACGACGGGUAGCCGGCCUGAGAGGGCGACCGGCCACACUGGGACUGAGACACGGCCCAGACUCCUACGGGAGGCAGCAGUGGGGAAUCUUGCACAAUGGGCGAAAGCCUGAUGCAGCGACGCCGCGUGAGGGAUGACUGCCUUCGGGUUGUAAACCUCUUUCAGCAGGGACGAAGCGAAAGUGACGGUACCUGCAGAAGAAGCACCGGCCAACUACGCGCCAGCAGCCGC
rnacentral:rRNA from 1 species